AUUGAACGCUGGCGGCAGGCCUAACACAUGCAAGUCGAGCGGAUGAAGGGAGCUUGCUCCUGGAUUCAGCGGCGGACGGGUGAGUAAUGCCUAGGAAUCUGCCUGGUAGUGGGGGAUAACGUCCGGAAACGGGCGCUAAUACCGCAUACGUCCUGAGGGAGAAAGUGGGGGAUCUUCGGACCUCACGCUAUCAGAUGAGCCUAGGUCGGAUUAGCUAGUUGGUGGGGUAAAGGCCUACCAAGGCGACGAUCCGUAACUGGUCUGAGAGGAUGAUCAGUCACACUGGAACUGAGACACGGUCCAGACUCCUACGGGAGGCAGCAGUGGGGAAUAUUGGACAAUGGGCGAAAGCCUGAUCCAGCCAUGCCGCGUGUGUGAAGGAGGUCUUCGGAUUGUAAAGCACUUUAAGUUGGGAGGAAGGGCAGUAAGCUAAUACCUUGCUGUUUUGACGUUACCAACAGAAUAAGCACCGGCUAACUUCGUG
rnacentral:rRNA from 1 species